rnacentral:rRNA from 1 species
GACGAACGCUGGCGGCGUGCUUAACACAUGCAAGUCGAACGGAAAGGCCCUGCUUGCAGGGUACUCGAGUGGCGAACGGGUGAGUAACACGUGGGUGAUCUGCCCUGCACUUCGGGAUAAGCCUGGGAAACUGGGUCUAAUACCGGAUAGGAGCCAUUUUUAGUGUGAUGGUUGGAAAGUUUUUUCGGUGUAGGAUGAGCUCGCGGCCUAUCAGCUUGUUGGUGGGGUAAUGGCCUACCAAGGCGGCGACGGGUAGCCGGCCUGAGAGGGUGGACGGCCACAUUGGGACUGAGAUACGGCCCAGACUCCUACGGGGGGCAGCAGUGGGGAAUAUUGCACAAUGGGCGCGAGCCUGAUGCAGCGACGCCGCGUGGGGGAUGACGGCCUUCGGGUUGUGAACUCCUUUCGCUAGGGACGAAGCUUUUUGUGACGGUACCUAGAUAAGAAGCACCGGCUAACUACGUG